ACAUAACUGAUGCCUCCGCGUAUCGACUUUGUGCGCAUUUUAGCUAUUAUGUGUUCUUUUAAUUAAAAUGAUUCUUUUUAAGAUUCAUCUAUUAAAAAUUUGCUUCGGCAUAAUUUUUUUUGAUGAUCUUGUUACUUUGAGUAAAUUAGAGUGUUCAAAGCAAACAGAUAUAGCAUUUGUGCGUUUGAAUACUACAGCAUGGAAUAACAAAAUUGAACAAGUCAGAAUUUUUUUGUUCUUUUUUCUUAUUUUGGCUUAGUUACGAUUAAUAGGAGUAGCUUGGGGGCAUUUGUAUUCAGAUGUCAGAGGUGAAAUUCUUAGAUUUUCUGGAGACAAACAACUGCGAAAGCAUUUGCCUAAAAUACUUCCAUUAAUCAAGAACGAAAGUUAAGGGAGUGAAGACAAUCAGAUACCGUCGUAAUCUUAACCAUAAACUAUGCCGACUAGGCUUUGGAUGAAAGAUUUUAAAAUAAGAGUUUUUCUUUUCUCUCCGGAGAUUAGAACUCUUAGAUUGCUUCCUUCAGUGCCUUAUGAGAAAUCAAAGUCUUUGGGUUCUGGGGCGAGUAUUCGCGCAAGCGAGAAAGUUAAAAGAAUUGACGGAAGGGCACCACCAGGCGUGGAGCUUGCGGCUUAAUUUGACUCAACACGGGAAAACUCACUAGUUUAAGACAAGAGUAGGAUUGACAGAUUAAUAGCUCUUUCUUGAUUUCUUGGAUGGUGAUGCAUGGCCGUUUUUAGUUCGUGAAUAUGAUUUGUCUGGUUAAUUCCGAUAACGAACGAGAUCUUAACCUGCUAAUUAGCGGCAAAUACGAUAUAUUCUUAUGUAGAAUUGAAUAUAGUGGAUUUGUUAGAUUUUGAAGAAAAUAUUGGAAUUACGUUAAAUGUGAUUCCUUUCCCUUUUCUACUUAAUUUACAUUUCCAUCUAUUUCUUUUUUGCGUAUGAAUGUAUUUGCUUGAUUGUAAAGCUUCUUAGAGGAACGAUGUGUG
rnacentral:rRNA from 1 species